rnacentral:rRNA from 1 species
AACGAACGCUGGCGGCAGGCCUAACACAUGCAAGUCGAACGCCCCGCAAGGGGAGUGGCAGACGGGUGAGUAACACGUGGGAACGUACCCUUCGGUUCGGGAUAACUCAGGGAAACUUGAGCUAAUACCGGAUACGUCCGAGAGGAGAAAGAUUUAUCGCCGAGGGAUCGGCCCGCGUCUGAUUAGCUUGUUGGUGAGGUAACGGCUCACCAAGGCGACGAUCAGUAGCUGGUCUGAGAGGAUGAUCAGCCACAUUGGGACUGAGACACGGCCCAAACUCCUACGGGAGGCAGCAGUGGGGAAUAUUGGACAAUGGGCGCAAGCCUGAUCCAGCCAUGCCGCGUGAGUGAUGAA